rnacentral:rRNA from 1 species
AUGCCGUACAUACCAGCUGACGUCACAAACCUAUAGGCCAAGUACCGUAGAGAGAGCAAGUUGGCAGACAUAGAGGCCACAAUGGCCUACUUCGAUGAAAAAGCGAAGGAAGAUCCAGAUUUCUUCUACAGGAUGAGGUUGGAUGAUGAGGACCAUGUCAGAAACAUGUAUUGGGUGGAUGGUGCUGCAAGGAGAGCCUACAAACAUUUCCGAGAUUGCAUUUCAUUCGACACGACGUACCUCACCAAUAUGUACAAGAUGCCAUGCGCUCCGUUCAUAGGAAUAAAUAACCACAAUCAGUAGUUGUAGUUCGGCUGCGGGCUCGUCCGGAAUGAAGACACGGAUGGGUACGUUUGGCUGUUCAAGACCUUCUUGGAGUGCAUGGAUGGACUUGCUCCGAUGAACAUAAUAACAGACCAAGAUUUCAGCAUGCGUGCAGGCAUAGAGGAGGUCUUUCUGUUGGCAGUGCACAGGCACUGCAGGUGGCACAUUAUAAAGAAGGUUGAGGAGACGCUAGGACUGUUCUUUGCUGACCGUCCAGAGCUGCACAAGGCAUUCGAGCUGUGCGUGGACCACAGCUUGACGGUGGAGGAGUUUGAAAGGAGUUGGAUGGCCAUGACUGAAACACAUCAAGUCCAAGACAACGAGACUCUUGUUAGCCUGUGGGAGAAGCGAAUGUACUGGGUGUCGGCCUACUUCAUGCAGUGCUUCUUCCCCUUUCUGCAGACUACGCAGCGCAGCAAGGGGUUCAAUGCUGUUUUGAAGCGGUACGUCAGCCCUGGCAACUCAUUGCUAUAG